rnacentral:lncRNA from 10 species
GCAGGAAGGCAGUGGCUUUUUCUAAGAAAGCCACCCAAAUGCAGGACCCACACAAGUGGGAGGGAGUGAAGGACGGAGGCGGUGCCAGGGGCUGCAGGAAGCAGAGACAAGGCCAAGGAAGGCAGACGGUAAAAGAUUUUAGCACUAGAAGAGUCAUUCUAGGCAAAUCUAGAACAAGCGCUAGACUACUCACAAACUAUCACCUGGGGGAAAUCAACCGGAGUUUCUGCUGUCAAACAAAAGACCAGCUGUACCCCACCAGCAGUUCCCAACCUUGAGCACACAUCAGAAUCUCCCACAGGACUCAUUAAACACAGACUACUGGGCUCCAGACCCAAGUUUCUGAUUCGGU